GAUGAACGCUGGCGGCGUGCCUAAUACAUGCAAGUCGAGCGAACAGACGAGGAGCUUGCUCCUCUGACGUUAGCGGCGGACGGGUGAGUAACACGUGGAUAACCUACCUAUAAGACUGGGAUAACUUCGGGAAACCGGAGCUAAUACCGGAUAAUAUAUUGAACCGCAUGGUUCAAUAGUGAAAGACGGUUUUGCUGUCACUUAUAGAUGGAUCCGCGCCGCAUUAGUUAGUUGGUAAGGUAACGGCUUACCAAGGCGGCGAUGCUUAACCGACCUGAGAGGGUUAUCGGCCACACUGGAACUGAGACACGGUCCAGACUCCUACGGGAGGCAGCAGUAGGGAAUCUUCCGCAAUGGGCGAAAGCCUGACGGAGCAACGCCGCGUGAGUGAUGAAGGUCUUCGGAUCGUAAAACUCUGUUAUUAGGGAAGAACAAAUGUGUAAGUAACUAUGCACGUCUUGACGGUACCUAAUCAGAAAGCCACGGCUAACUACGUG
rnacentral:rRNA from 1 species